UAUGAAUGGGUCUAACAAAGCUUUUGACCCAGAGUGCCCUCCUGAAAAUAAAUGCCAGUUCCUUCCUUUCAGUUUUUUGAUCGUCUAAAGCUCUUUGGGAUGCCCGCAAAGCACCAGCCAGAUUUCAUCUACCUGCGGCAUGUGCCGCUGCGCAAAGUGCACCUCUUCACCCUCAUCCAGUUGACCUGUCUCGUCCUGCUCUGGGUCAUCAAGGCAUCUCCAGCUGCCAUUGUUUUCCCAAUGAUGGUUUUGGCCUUGGUCUUUGUCAGGAAAGUCAUGGAUCUCUGUUUCUCUAAGCGAGAGCUAAGCUGGUUAGAUGAUCUCAUGCCUGAAAGCAAAAAGAAGAAGUUGGAUGAUGCCAAAAAGAAGGCCAAGGAGGAAGAGGUCAUAGUCCUUGCACCAACUGUAUACCUGGGGGCCUCAAAUUACAGAACAUAGGAAGGGCCAUGUGAAAAGUCAGCAUGUCUGGAAUCCCGAGGGUUAUAUUUAGGAG
rnacentral:sRNA from 1 species